AAAAUUUGAAGAAAGCAGAGAAAUUUAGAGAGAGAACUGGUGAGGAAUAAGAAGAGAACCGAGGGUGAAAUGCAAUACAGGUACCGAGAGGGAGUCUUAGUGCGAGUGUUGAAGAACUUUCUUUCCUGUCCUGAUUUAUGCGAGUCCCUCUCCUUUUUAACUUGUUCCCCUUCAAUUUUUUAGUAUUUAAACGUUUUUUUUUUUGUCCAACUUCUAUAGUCCCGAAAUUUACAGCAAGCUCAUAACACCAAAAAUUCUUCUCGCUUCACCUGAAACCACGAACAGAGCAGGUAAGCCUGCUGUUUUUCUGCAAUUUUCACUUCUGUUUCAUUUUUUUUUUUCAAUCUUAAGUAUUAAAGGAUUAAAUCUAAAUGUUUGGAAUGCUAAGAAAUAAUUUUUAGGAGUAAAACAACUCAAAAAAUUCAAAAUCUAAUCUUAAACCCAUUAUUGUUCUGCAAUCACCUAAGAUUUUGGAUUUUUUUUUUUUUGAGUUGUUUUACUCCACAGUGAUUAACCCAAACACACGAAAAUUAUAUUAAUAAACCCAAAAAAAUAUGCAUGCAGGAACAAUAAAAGGACUUUCACUCACUCACAACAUUCAGAGUCUUUUCUACCCUUGGGCUCUCUCUCUCUCUCUCACUCUCGCAGUCAGCUUGUCUGAAUCUACUUGGUGUGAAGGGUGCCAGCACAGAUACCCCUGGGCCGAAUGCAAGGUGGCCACAAUUGUAGCAGGCCCUGUUAUAGCAGGUGAGCUCUCUCUCAUGUCUGCCAUUGCAGCUGGCAACUUUGUAUAAAGCAACAUGAAAUAUCGAUUUCAUUUGCUUGUAUUUAUGUCUUGUUUUACUCUGUCAUACAUAUAUAUAUAAUAUGUAACUGAAUACUAUAUACCCUAUUCAGGACAAGGGAAGGGAAUAUCCGUUCAUGGGAUUCAGGUCCUAUACCACUCCUGAAGAGGUGCCCUCUCGACUGUCUUGUUUUACCGGCUCCUCAUUUUAGUCACGGAUGCACCCUCAGCAAGUUCAGCUCUCAUCUCAUUUCUCAUUCUUUCUCACAGCAUACAUGUAAUUACCCCACUGGUCUAACACUGAAAUCUUACACUUCAUUACUCAACACUAACUGAUGUGCUCUUGCACACAUCUAGUAUAUUAUUUCGUAUAUGGGUAGUAGCUACUACUAUAAUAUAUGAACGUAUAUAGGAUAAUUCAUUGUUUCACUGGAAAAUAUAGUGGCUCUUCAUCAUAGGUAGAACAACUCUUAUAAACAUUUAAAUCUUCAAAUCUUAUUCAUGCGAUUACUUGUAAACCAAAAACCUUGCAUGUAACUGGAAAAUACAC
rnacentral:lncRNA from 1 species